rnacentral:misc_RNA from 1 species
GAUGAAGAACGCAGCGAAAUGCGAUAAGUAGUGUGAAUUGCAGAAUUCAGUGAAUCAUCGAAUCUUUGAACGCACAUUGCGCCCCUUGGUAUUCCAUGGGGCAUGCCUGUUCGAGCGUCAUUUGUACCUUCAAGCUUUGCUUGGUGUUGGGUGUUUGUCUCGCCUCCGCGUGUAGACUCGCCUCAAAACAAUUGGCAGCCGGCGUAUUGAUUUCGGAGCGCAGUACAUCUCGCGCUUUGCACUCAUAACGACGACGUCCAAAAGUACAUUUUUACACUCUUGACCUCGGAUCAGGUAGGGAUACCCGCUGAACUUAAGCAUAUCAAUAAGGGAGGA